AGAAGUUGUCCAGGGCUCCCUGAGGGAGGCCAGCACAAGAGCUCUGCCAUAAAAGGACAUUGGACAGAAGUGAAGAGUCCAAUCAGAAACUCUUUUUGAGAGACUGAACGCAAAGCAUUCAGAGAGUCAGCAGGCUGGAGAGGCCAAGACACACACACGAAGAAGGCAGGACACUCUUCUCCUCCUGCGGUUGGACUCCAGGCUCUAUGACCUUCAAACUCCAGGACUUACACCAGUUGCCCCUGGGCACUCAGGACUUCUGCUUCAGACUGACAGUUGCAGGACAGUGCAGCAUUUUAUUUUAAAGAUACCCCACAACGUAGGUGGCCAGUCCUGCUGCAGGUGCGGUUUCAAGCCUUUGGAGUUUGACCUUCUAGUCCAAGGUCAUUACAGCUGCAGGCAGAGGCUCCCGCGGGGAAAAGAGCAUUUCCUGGGACGCUGGAACUAAAUGAAUGGCCCACUCUCCAGUUCAGCCCUUGCCUCCUUCCCGACACAUAAAGUUCAAGAGCCACGGUCCUGAGUGCAUAGGAACAGCCCCAUCACCCUUCUCCCUCUGGGCAAGCUAGGAGCAGCGGUGCGAGGCUCCAUUUCUUCUUCUCUGCCUCCUGGACCUCAGCCACCUCUGCUCAGGCACAGGCCAGCUGCCCAGGCGUCCUCAUCUGGCGACCAGCUCUGACCGCAGCCCUGGUCUGCUCUCGGGGUCGGGCCCACACCCCUCUUCUUCCUCCUCUUCCUCCCAAGGCCUGGGCUCGGGUCCCUCUUCUCACCUUUCCCUUUCUUGCGUUGCAACCGUAACUUGGGAAAACCCUUCUUGAUCUUCCUCUCUCACCUCCUUUCAAACACAUGCUUGCAGGCUUUUUCCCGAUCUCAUCCUUAGGGCAGAUACGCUCCCUUGAUUCUGAGGUCUUUGAACUUGCUGUGAAGCCACACUACCUGCGUCCCAGGGUCUCCAGCUUGCAGAUGGACUGUGGUGGGACUUCUCAGUCACCAAGAUUGAGAGCUGUACUAGCCUGGCAUGCAGACAGCAGCUUUAGAAUCAGAUCUGCCUUCUGGCGGCUUCCCACCUAGGAGCCAUGGGACCUUUGUGAAGUCACCAAUUGUGCUGUGGAUGCUUCAUUUGUGAAGGAGAACAGGACUGCCUUGUGAAAUUACGGAUGGUGCUACUAAAACAUAUCAAUAAUUUGAAUUUCACUUUUGUGGAUGCUUUAAACAUCAUAGUCAUUAGAAGGUGGAUCUGGCUGAUUGUACUUUAAGUUUUCAGUUUGAGCUGGAGCUUUGUAUUAUAACAGGAGGGUACUGGACAAGAUGAGGAAACUGAGGUACAGAUGGGAAACUUGCUCAAGUUCACACAGCAAUUAAGUGAUCAAGUCCAAGAGCAAAACCAGGCAGGCUGGCUCCAGAGCUCACGAUAGUCCACCACUGCUUUCCACCAUCACUACGGAAUCAAGUCCAUGAGGAUACUCACCUUAUGUCAGUUGCCUAAGUUGGAAAUUAUAGAAUCUUCAAAUUGGAAGGGACGUUAUCAUCCAAGAUUUCAACUUUCUACUCACUGCAAAAUCCCUUCUGGAACUUCCCAGAUUGAUGAAUUUUCAUCAGCUCUGCUUGAGUACUCCCAGUGACUUGGAAAAAAAACACUGUAAUAUGGAUAUGAAAUAUAAACUGUUCAUGGAUAAAUUAUUGCAUAAUAAAAACAUGCCUAAUGGCUACACUCCCCU
rnacentral:lncRNA from 10 species